rnacentral:rRNA from 1 species
AUGAACGCUGGCGGCGUGCUUAACACAUGCAAGUCGAACGGGGAACAAAUUAUUGAAGCUUCGGCAGAUCUAGCUUGUUCCUAGUGGCGGACGGGUGAGUAAYGCGUGGGUAACCUGCCUCACACUGGGGGAUAACAGUCAGAAAUGGCUGCUAAUACCGCAUAAGCGCACAGUACCGCAUGGUACAGUGUGAAAAACUCCGGUGGUGUGAGAUGGACCCGCGUUGGAUUAGCUAGUUGGCAGGGCAGCGGCCUACCAAGGCGACGAUCCAUAGCCGGCCUGAGAGGGUGAACGGCCACAUUGGGACUGAGACACGGCCCAGACUCCUACGGGAGGCAGCAGUGGGGAAUAUUGCACAAUGGGGGAAACCCUGAUGCAGCGACGCCGCGUGAAGGAAGAAAUAUCUCGGUAUGUAAACUUCUAUC